rnacentral:lncRNA from 1 species
UUCGCACGAGGUUUAAGGUCGUGGGUUUGAAUCCCACGGACCGCGCACCCGCAUAUUACGCGUGAUGUGCGUGUGCGGGGAUCUCCCGGCUGUUCGUUAAUUUUUGUCCUUAUUUUUUUGGACGCAGAACCAACCAGUACUAAAUGGUACAUUUAGUAUCGGGCAUUUUGAUCGGUACUAAAUGGUGUGGCAUUUAGUACCGAAGAAGCAGUACCAGACAGGCGCCUGGUACUAAAUGGGUUACUAACCGAUACUAUAGAUUACUUCCCUAGUAGUGCUUGAAAUUGGUACACGGGAGCUCAACAAUUCCAAGUAACAUCAACGAGCUCACAAUCCCCC